rnacentral:rRNA from 1 species
GUAACAAGGUUUCCGUAGGUGAACCUGCGGAAGGAUCAUUAUCGAAUAAUAAUAUGAUUUGAAAGAGGCGACGAGAUUGUCGCUGGCUGGACUGCAUGUGCACGUCUCCUAGCCUUUUUCUAUCUAUAAACACACACACACCUGUGCACCUUUUGUAGAUCCUCUUCGAAAGAGGAGAGAUCUAUGUUUUCAUCACACCACAACAUGAUCGUAUGGCCAGAAUGAAAAAGAAAGCAAUAUAUUAUACAACUUUCAGCAAUGGAUCUCUUGGUUCUCGCAUCGAUGAAGAACGCAGCGAAUUGCGAUAAGUAAUGUGAAUUGCAGAUUUCCAGUGAAUCAUCGAAUCUUUGAACGCAUCUUGCGCUCCUUGGUAUUCCGAGGAGCAUGCCUGUUUGAGUGUCAUCGAAUUCUCAACCAUUCUCUCUUUAUUUAUUAUUUAUAAGGAGGGGGGCAUGGCUUGGAGUUGGGGGUUGCUGGCACAGGACUGUCAGCUCCUCUUAAAUGCAUUAGUGAACAAGUUGGGCUGGUCUUUGACGUGCACGGCCUUGGACGUGAUAAUGAUCGUCGUGGCUGGAGCGUCCUUAGCUAGACUAUGCACAUCAGAUCGCUUCUAAAUCAAGACGAGAGAGGAUGGGGAGUGGUCUAAUCGAGCUUAGUUAUUAGGCAGUCUCUGAAAGGAAGGCUGGCGAACGCGAGCGAGAUGAAAUCCUUUCUUCUCUCUAUGUUUUCGAUCGACUUGACCUCAAAUCAGGUAGGACUACCCGCUGAACUUAAGCAUAUC